rnacentral:rRNA from 1 species
AGAGUUUGAUCAUGGCUCAGGACGAACGCUGGCGGCGUGCUUAACACAUGCAAGUCGAGCGGAAAGGCCCUUCGGGGUACUCGAGCGGCGAACGGGUGAGUAACACGUGAGCAACCUGCCCCUGGCUCUGGGAUAGCUCCGGGAAACCGGGAUUAAUACCGGAUGCGACCUGCUCCUGCAUGGGAGCGGGUGGAAAGUUU